UACAGAGGUCUCAAGCGUUUGUUCGGAUUCAUUGGGCGUAAAGAGCUCGUAGGUGGUUUGUCGCGUUGUCCGUGAAAACUCACAGCUUAACUGUGGGCGUGCGGGCGAUACGGGCAGACUGGAGUACUGCAGGGGAGACUGGAAUUCCUGGUGUAGCGGUGGAAUGCGCAGAUAUCAGGAGGAACACCGGUGGCGAAGGCGGGGUCUCUGGGGCGAGUAACUGACGCUGGAGGAGCGAAAAGCGUGGGGAGCGAACAGG
rnacentral:rRNA from 1 species